CCAAAACCUCCAUUUACACCAUCAAAUAAAAAUCUGAAUUUCCAUUGAUGUGUCUUAUUCAUUUUGAGUACCCAUGAAUGGCCCUAAAUACCCACUCUCUUUCUCCUUUAAUUUUAGGUUGUCGUAUUGUUUUUCCCCAAUAUCGUUUUCUUAAAGUCAGAAUCUGCAUAUACUUCCUUCAUGAAAGUUGUAGAUCGUGAAAAAUUAUUGAAUUUAAACCCAAAAAUCAUCUGAUUCGGAGUUCGGAGUAAAGAGUUAGACCCUCUAUUAGAAAGGAAAAAGGGACAUUACAAGCCUCCUCCGGCUAUCAAAUAUAAUGAUCGCGACUCGAGGAUAUGAAAUGUUUUGCUAAAUGAUGUUUAUGAUGCUGAUGAAUUGGUUUUUCAUGAUGCUUAAGAGAUGUUUAUCACAUAAAUAUAAAAAUAACGAAACAUGAUAAAUGAAAGUGAAAGACAGUUCUUAGCAGUACUUUAUGGGCACCGCAAGUGUCACCUUUGUUGUGACCACCUUUCGGAUAUGGGCACCGCAAGUGUCACCUUUGUUGUGACCGCCUUUCGGAUAUGUAUAUGUUAUGGGCACCGCAAGUGUCACCUUUGUUGUGACCGCCUUUCGGAUUAAUGUUAUGGGCACCGCAAGUAUCACCUUUGUUGUGACCGCCUUUCGGAUUAAUGAUUAUGAUGUUAUGAUGUUGUACUUGCCAAGUUACCAUUAAAAAUGAUGUAAGAUUAUAAAGGAUAAUAUCUCAAAAUUGUUGGUUUUCUAUUAUCAAGUUAUAUGUUUAUGAAAUGAUGUUUGCGAUA